AAAUUAUUAAGAGAAUCUCCAAAAUUAAUUUUAUCAUUCAUAACAACAUCACUUAUAUAUAUAAACUAAUAAUUUUAUAUACUAACUCCAAACUACAAAUAUAAAGAAAUACACCACACAACACAAUCUCAUCCCUUCAUAACCAACAACAAAACAACAAAGUUUAACAUAAACACAAAGGACUUUUGACAACAUUUUUCCAUUAAGCUGAGGCACCUUUGAGUUUGGCGACAAGAACCUUGGCAAACCCGACGAUCUUCUCAGUCUCAGGCAGGACAUCCUUAACAGCAGGAUCCGCCGCAAACUUUUCCGACCACUUCACCAGACCAGGUGUUUUCUCCUCGUCAAGUAGCUUCACUCCAAUCAUCACCUGCAAACCUCUCAUCCAGCUCAGCAUGCUCCCGAGGGCAAUGUCGAGGAACCCGAUCCUGUCGCCUCCGAAGAAGUCUUUGCCCUUGCUGAUGUCCUUGUAAGCUUGUUCGAGCAGAGCGAGUCCUUCGAGCAAUUGGUCCACCGCCGUAGUUUUGGCCUCCUCGGUUGGUGCUAGGGGUGCUGCCCUUAUGUUUGGGAACCACUGUGGGAAAACAAAGGGGUUGAAGGUUAGAGGUUUGUUUGGAUUGAUGGAAUAGUUAGGAAAGAUUUGAGACUUUUGAGAUUGGUAGGAAAGAUUGAGAAGAACCAUUGAAUGGUUUGAUUCACUAACCACUAGGGAAAAUAGUAACUACUCAUUGGUUUGGUCGAAAUAUGAAAUCGUUAUAAAUUUAUGUAUGACACAAUUUUUGAUCAUUAUCUUUGGUGAAUUAAGAACUAAAAUCACUGUUUUUGUUAACCUGUAACGAGGUGAAAUGAGUGACCGCACCCGGCUCUAAACAUCGAAAACGGAUUAUCAAGGAACCCGCUACUCAAAUUUGACCGAUCCGGUUACCGAUUAGACUGUACUCGGAAUUCCUAGUCCUAAAACCGUUCAUGACAAAAAAUGCAAACUAAAAACCAACAAGAACCCAUGAAAACACAAUCCCUUCCCAGAGAUACCCACAAACUUGAAUGUCAAAUAAUCAAACACGAAGCAUCAUUCGUACAUAAUCACAAAUCGUUCAAAUAAAAAAAACAACGGCAUACCUUUUCAUCGAUGUAGGCAGCCCAGAACCGUGCGAUGGCGCGAUCGUAAGGAUCGGACGGUAAAAUCGAAGGGCCAGACGUAGACCAGACCUCAUCAAUGUACUCGACGAUGAUGCUGGACUCGCAGAUAGGUCUGUCCUUGUGGAGAAGGACCGGGAUCUUCUUGUGGACAGGGUUCGAUUUCAGCAGGAGCUCGCUCUUGGAGCCGAAUUGCUCCUCUAGGAAAUCGUACUCGACCGAUUUGAGGUUGAGUGCGAUUCGGGGACGCAUCACGAAGGGGCUCGGCCAGGCUCCGAUCAACUUCACGUCGCUCUUGUUGGCUGCCAUGGUGGGUGAAAAAACAGGGGAUUUUGUUGUGAAGGUUUUAAUUUGUUUCUUUGUUUUUUCUCUGUUUCGUGUUUUGAUUUUGGGUGAAGGGAAGGAAAUGGGUAUUUAUAGUAGUGGGGAGACGAAGAUUCUAGGUGUGAAAAGUUAAAGCUUUGAUUAGUUGGGUUGUUUGGAGAUUGGGGAAUCAUGAAUGUGAACGGGAGACUCUACGGAAUUGGGAAUAGUAUGACAUGCUUGGUGACGUUGUAACAUUGUUCACAUGUGGUUUUAUCAUUAUUAUAAUCAGAAACGGAAUCAGGAAUUUAGUUCAAGAUGGAUCGGAAAAUUUAUAAUUUGUAAUAAGAAAAAUUUACAACUCGAAGUUUUAGUUGCAUUUUAUGUAAUUACAAAAAACUAGUACUUUAAUAAUUAUUAAACUAUUGUCGGCUAUGACGGCCGAUAACCCUCCCGACCAUGAGUUAAUCUUCGCCCCUGAUUAAAAUUAUGUUGAGUUUAACUAGCUCUUUCUUAUAUUAGGUACAAGUUAAGAAUGUUUUUAAUUUUCCAUGCAAACAAAAAGUUUCAAAUUUGAUUGUUCAUAUAUAUAAGGAGGAUAUGCACAAAAAUAUUAACCAGAUGAUGUCAGUCUUAUUACUAGCCGAUCUUUCUUUACUUAUAGGUUGGAACUGUAAUGUUGGCAAUGCACAUGAACACGAUAGAGAUUGGAGCAACAGUUAUCGGGUCCGACAGUCUGGCCCGAACAUGUUCCAAUUGAGAUAUAGUUCUAGGGAGAGUCUAAAUAUAUAUAUAUAUAUNNNNNNNNNNNNNNNNNNNNNNNNNNNNNNNNNNNCAUCUUUUUAUUAUUGCAUAUAAUUGUGGACAUACUGAAUAGGCCAUAAUUUGAUUCACAAGUUAAGAAAAUUAAAAAUCCGUUACUAAUAAUUGAUUGGAUUAUGAAUUGGAUUACAUAACCUUUUCUAUUCAAUCACCUGCGUUAGUGUCCGAUUGGUAGCAUUCACGCUCUAAAGUGAUGGUAUUUAAAAUUUUAGUUGUCUUUGUUAUUUAGAUACCUAACUACAUAAAUCAUUUUAUCCUCAAAAAUUUGAAUUGUUGGAAGAAUAUCACGAUUAAUUUAUUUCAAUCAAAAAAUUGAGGUUUAUAUACUACUUUGAUAAAUCUUAUGCAAUGGAUGGUAAACUAUUUAGAUUCGAAACAAUAAUCUGUUGUCACUCAAAAAAUUCUAAUAUAAUAUCAUUAAACCAUUACAGAUACAACACAAUCCUCAUCCUUCAUAAUCAACCACCAAAACAACAAAGAAAACAUACUAAACACACAAACGUCAACAAAACCAACUACUAUUUUUCAAGCUGAGGCACCUUUGAGUUUGGGCACAAGAAUCUUUGCAAACUCGACAAUCUCCUCAGUGUCAGGCAGGAUAUCCUUAACAGCAGGAUCCGCCGCAAACUUCUCCGACCACUUCAGCAGACCAGGUGUUUUCUCCUCGUC
rnacentral:lncRNA from 1 species